rnacentral:rRNA from 1 species
UACGAAGGGGGCUAGCGUUGCUCGGAAUCACUGGGCGUAAAGCGCACGUAGGCGGCUUUCUAAGUCAGGGGUGAAAUCCUGGAGCUCAACUCCAGAACUGCCUUUGAUACUGGAGGGCUUGAGUCCGGAAGAGGUGAGUGGAACUCCGAGUGUAGAGGUGAAAUUCGUAGAUAUUCGGAAGAACACCAGUGGCGAAGGCGGCUCACUGGUCCGGUACUGACGCUGAGACGCGAAAGCGUGGGGAGCAAACAGG